AGCGGCGAACGGGUGAGUAACACGUAGGUGAUCUGCCCAUCAGACGGGGACAACGAUUGGAAACGAUCGCUAAUGCCGGAUAGGACGAAAGUUUAAAGGUGCUUCUGGCACCGCUGAUGGAUGAGCCUGCGGCGCAUUAGCUAGUUGGUAGGGUAAAGGCCUACCAAGGCGACGAUGCGUAGCCGACCUGAGAGGGUGAACGGCCACACUGGGACUGAGACACGGCCCAGACUCCUACGGGAGGCAGCAGUAGGGAAUCUUCGGCAAUGGGCGAAAGCCUGACCGAGCAACGCCGCGUGAAUGAUGAAGGCCUUCGGGUUGUAAAAUUCUGUUAUAAGGGAAGAACGACUUUAGUAGGAAAUGGCUAGAGUGUGACGGUACCUUAUGAGAAAGCCACGGCUAACUACGUGCCAGCAGCCGCGGUAAUACGUAGGUGGCGAGCGUUAUCCGGAAUUAUUGGGCGUAAAGAGCGCGCAGGUGGUUGAUUAAGUCUGAUGUGAAAGCCCACGGCUUAACCGUGGAGGGUCAUUGGAAACUGGUCGACUUGAGUGCAGAAGAGGGAAGUGGAAUUCCAUGUGUAGCGGUGAAAUGCGUAGAGAUAUGGAGGAACACCAGUGGCGAAGGCGGCUUCCUGGUCUGUAACUGACACUGAGGCGCGAAAGCGUGGGGAGCAAACAGGAUUAGAUACCCUGGUAGUCCACGCCGUAAACGAUGAGUGCUAAGUGU
rnacentral:rRNA from 1 species